UACGAAGGGGGCUAGCGUUGUUCGGAAUUACUGGGCGUAAAGCGCACGUAGGCGGAUAUUUAAGUCAGGGGUGAAAUCCCGGGGCUCAACCCCGGAACUGCCUUUGAUACUGGGUAUCUCGAGUGUGGUAGAGGUGAGUGGAAUUGCGAGUGUAGAGGUGAAAUUCGUAGAUAUUCGCAGGAACACCAGUGGCGAAGGCGGCUUGCCAGAAUGCGCUCGACGGUGAGGGAUGAAAGCUGGGGGAGCAAACCGG
rnacentral:rRNA from 1 species